AUACCAUGAUGAGGACAUCUUCUGAGUAGCUCUUUAAAUAUUUCCCAUGCAUCGUACAAGCUUUCAUCUUUAAGUUGAUGAAAAGAUGUGAUCUCGUUCCUCAACUU
rnacentral:snoRNA from 1 species